CCUGUCACCCAGUAGGUUCUCAGGAAAUAGGACUGUACCAACCAAGUGACAUGGCAGGCUGACACCACACCUCUUUAAUCCAACCUUGUACUGAAUUUUUGGGAGGAGACAGGACUUGGGGGCUGGAGUGGAAUCACAGGCAAGCAGGAUCCUAAAGAUACUUCAUAAUUUAAAGGUUGGAGACAAGAGGCCAGGAUUUGGCGCAACACUGCUGUUCAGAAUUUCUUGACUUGGACUGUUUCUCUGGACCAGUCUUUUUACCUAACUUGACAAUGAAAGGGUGGCUCAAAGAUGGCACAAUAGAGGUUUUUGGAGAUUCUUUUGUCUUCCCUUGACUCUCAAUAAAAACAACAAAGAAAUGAAAGAAUGUGAGUUGAAGACUUCAAUGAAACUAAGGAGUCUCCAAAGACCAAUCUUACAACUGCCAAACAUGAUGAUGCCUGGGCUAAGGAGAAGAAGUAACCUUAUACCUUGACCUUGAACAGAAUGACAGUUAUUCAAAGAGCAAAGAGGAUGUCUGAGGCAGCUCAUCCCCUGCCCAAUGGAAGCUGGAUUUUGCUUAUUGGAAGAUGACAAUGGCUGGAUUGCCUGGAAGAAGUCUUUCUGUGUUGGCCAUGUGUUGAACUUCUUAUAUAAAGUGAUCAAAGCCUGAGACAAAAGAGCAUUCUAAAUUCACAUAGGAGAGAAAAUCCAAAAGACAAAGAAGAGAGUUCAUUACAUAGUGGGCUAGGAAAAAAUGACUGCAGAGAAUGAAAGAGAAAGGAAGAGCUAGGGAGAAAGAAGAGAGGAAAGGCUAUGGAGGAACCAAAAAAAGGGAAAGAAGAGUAUGGAGAAAUCAAAAGAAGAGAAGAAAUUUGAGAAAAGAGCAAAUGACAGAAAGAGAAUCUUUAUCUUGCUAUUAAAACCUUGAGUCCCAUGCUGACCCUGACUCUAUGUAUGUACAGGUAAUCAAUUUCCAGACCCAAUUG